AUUGAACGCUGGCGGCAGGCCUAACACAUGCAAGUCGAGCGGAUGAAGGGAGCUUGCUCCUGGAUUCAGCGGCGGACGGGUGAGUAAUGCCUAGGAAUCUGCCUGGUAGUGGGGGAUAACGUCCGGAAACGGGCGCUAAUACCGCAUACGUCCUGAGGGAGAAAGUGGGGGAUCUUCGGACCUCACGCUAUCAGAUGAGCCUAGGUCGGAUUAGCUAGUUGGUGGGGUAAAGGCCUACCAAGGCGACGAUCCGUAACUGGUCUGAGAGGAUGAUCAGUCACACUGGAACUGAUACACGGUCCAGACUCCUACGGGAGGCAGCAGUGGGGUAUAUUGGACAAUGGGCGAAAGCCUUAUCCAGCCAUGCCGCGUGUGUGAAGAAGGUCUUCGGAUUGUAAAGCACUUUAAGUUGGGAGGAAGGGCAGUAAGUUAAUACCUUGCUGUUUUGACGUUACCAACAGAAUAAGCACCGGCUAACUUCGUG
rnacentral:rRNA from 1 species